CCUACGGGAGGCAGCAGUAGGGAAUAUUGCUCAAUGGGGGAAACCCUGAAGCAGCAACGCCGCGUGGAGGCUGAUGGUCUUAGGAUUGCAAACUCCUUUUGUUAGAGAAGAUUAUGACGGUAUCUAACGAAUAUGCACCGGCUAACUCCGUGCCAGCCGCCGCGGUCAUACGGAGGGUGCAAGCGUUACUCGGAAUCACUGGGCGUAAAGAGUGCGUAGGCGGGGUAAUAAGUCAGAUGUGAAAUCCUGUAACUUAACUACAGAACUGCAUUUGAAACUGUUACUCUGGAGUGUGGGCGAGGUAGGUGGAAUUCUUGGUGUAGGGGUAAAAUCCGUAGAGAUCAAGAGGAAUACUCAUUGCGAAGGCGACCUGCUGGAACAUGACUGACGCUGAUGCACGAAAGCGUGGGGAGCAAACAGGAUUAGAUACCCUGGUAGUC
rnacentral:rRNA from 1 species